rnacentral:sRNA from 1 species
AACUCUUUUGUCCCCAAGUUGCUUUUGGUCAUGGAGUUAAGUGUAUUGGACAGCUGCAUGCCUGUUCAUUCUCACCUAACUUGUAAGAUGUUUAUUUGCACCCGCUGCUUUCCAAGAAAGGAAGGACAUAAACACUAAGAGAGCUCACCUUUUAAAACGGAAUUCUCCAUAUUUCAAAAGCCACAUACAUGUUUGUUUAGGGAGUGUGAGAAAUAGAAAGAAAAUGAAGAACAAUAUCACACAUAAUCUCACUUCAUUAGCAUGGCAUAAGAAUAUUUGUGUAAACAGGAAAAAGUCGGACAUUACUCAACAUACUUAUCAAGACAAGAGGAGGUUAAACGCAUAACACCCGUGGGGUAGAAGCCCAUUAUACCAGCCUGACCAGCAAAGAAAUGGACAAUGCCGGAAAGGGAAAUUGCCCCAGAAAUCCCCAUCAUAAGAACCAUUUUCUUCAUCCCAGUCCUACUUUAAUAGAAGACUUUUCAGAUCUAUCCAUGUCCAUGCAAAUCUCAAAACUCCAUUCUUCUUUGCGGUGAAACAGAAUUCUGCUGUGUACGUGAACCGCAUUUUCACUAUCUGUCCAUCUGUUGGUGGUCAUCUAGGCUGGCUCCAUUUUCUUGUUAUCAUGAGUGGAGCAGCAAGGAACAGUCAUCUCUGUGGCAGGAUGCAGAGUCCUUUGGGUAUGUUCUCAAGAACCUUCUAAGCAGGACCCCUACAGCACAGGAAACCUCCCUCAGAAUCAACAACUAAGACUGCACACAAUUAACUCGUCUCUACACAAGAGAGAAGACUGUCAACAGAGAAAGCAGCCCCAGGAAGGAGGAAAGGUUCUUUUCUUUUACUUAAGAAAUUCGUUGUAUAUGCUUAAAGAACAUGGUACUCUGUUACAUAGGAUUUUCACAUGAACAUUCUUGUGAUGAUAGCAGUUCCUCUUCAUACCUUCAACGAGUGCUACUUUUCCAUAUCCUAAACACCUCUGGAUAAUGUUUUCCAUAUCCUAAAUACCUCUGGACAAUGAUUUACUAGGACGUCGCUGUAAUUUCACUGAAAUGCUUUCAGUAGACAUUCACAGUAUUUCCAGUUUUUUUCCCCCUUGAUUGCAAAUUAACAUUUCGGAGCUCGCUGUUUAUCUAUUGAAGAUUUACUGUUAUUCUGGGGCCAAAAAAAGGGUGUCAUUUUCAGGCAAAGAGUAAGGUGUCUGCAUUGGAUAACUAAGCUUCUGAGAUAUUUAAAUACAUCCGGAACUCAAACAAAAAACAAGGCCCUCCAAACUGAGAAUUAGAACCAAGAGUCUGCAGAAAGUGAAAUUAGACCUUAUUGUUCAUCCUGUGCAAAAACCAGUUCAAAAUGAGUAAAGUAGUCUGGGCUGGCUGACCAUACAGAUCUAACUCUGUCUCUGCAGAUCUGGGGUUCUAAACUCAUUCUCUCACCCAAUUACUUUUAAUGCAGAUUCUGGGGAUGAAACUCAGGUCCCUGCUUGCUUACUGACUGCUGUUUCCCCAGCCAUGGUGUAGAGGAUGUUAGAUACCGCAUCUUCUGAACAAGGUGAGCCCUUACUCCAUCCGAAAGGGGAGUAGACUUUUAGAGAGUUGACUUUUCUAAAGUUAAACUUCCCACACUGAACACAUUUUUAUACACAGUACCUGGGGCGGAGGGGUGUUUAGCUACAGUAUUUCCUCUGGAUGAAAACAAGAGAGAAUCCAUUUUAUUUCCUAUGUUUAUUUCUUUUUGCCAUCUACCUUCUGUUUGCUACCGGAGGUACCUGAAAACCACAAUAAAGUUGUAACUGGAAAUUGGCUUCAUGUCAGUUGUUCUGAUUUGAGUUUGAUGUUUAUCAAGAGCUAACCAAGGUCUGUUCAACCAGGACCUUGAGAGCUGUUCUACCUGCCCUUGCUCUCCGCCAUUCUUGCUCUCCUGUCUGUCUCUGGGCAGAAUUACAGCAAGCACUCUGAAUCUAUGUGCUCUCUGAGUCUCUCUGUUCAUCAGUGUACGCCCCUCCCAAAGUAAUAGAAAAGAAAUAUUAAAGGAAGAAAAGAAGGAGUCUGAGAAAAAAAUGACUUAUUAAGAGACCCCCUUCAGUCCGUGGGGCUCCACAAGGACCGAGGGACAUCAAUAGGUUCUUGAACUGCAGGAGUAAUUCCUAGUCUUGCGAAUUCUAAGAUUUCUCUGAAGUCCAAUACGGAUCCCAAGCACACUAAUAGGAUUAGAAAUAACAUCUCCAAUAAGAAAGAAUGCGCCUUCAACUGUGCACUUCUCUCUGAAACAAUGGAAGUACGCCAUACCAUAUUUACCUGGAAAUAUGGACGUGAAGUUAAAACUAUCUGGAAGGCAUCUGUUUUUUUAAAGCCUGUUCUUGAUUGAAAUUCCACUCCCAAAGUUUGUGCUGCCAGUUCCCAACUCCAUUCCUUGCCUCUCUCCCGUUUCCCUCCAUCGCCUCCCCUUUAUGACCUUUUCUUGGCCACGCCCCUUGAUUUAUGGUCGUUUGUAUGAUGCCCUUUUGCAGUACAGCAGUUUAUGCCACCCUGUUCUUGUCAUAAAUGACUACCAUAAAGUGAGGUAAAAUAUCGUAAAACAUUAGUGAGUCCCCGAUACUCAAGGUUCUUUCCAGUCAGCCCUGACAGGCACCAACCACAGAAAAACAGAUUCGGCCUUUUGAAGGGAGCAGCAUCGGACACUAAAAUUCUUAAAAGUUAAAAGCACUAAAAGUCACUAAUCUCUUUCCAUGUGCCGGUCACUGAAUAGAGCUUACUGCAUACGUGACAUAAAAUCCUUGUUACUUCUUGUCUUAGUCAGGGUUUCAUUGCUGUCAAGAGACACCACAUUCAAAACAACUCUUCUAUAGGAAAUAUUUAAUCCGUGCUGGCUUACAGUUUCAGAGGUUCGGCCUACUAUCAUCAUGGCGUGGGGCAUGGCAGCACACAGGCAGACUUGGUGCUGGAGAAGGAGCUGGGAAUCCUCCAUCUUGAUCAGGAGGCAGCAGAAGAAGACUGUCUCCUGUAGGCAGCCAGGAGGAAGCUUUCCUCUGCUCCAGGAAGAGUUUGAGCCUAGGAGUAUGGAUGACCGGAAGGCAGCCAAACCACCGGAAGGCAGCCGAGCCACCGGAAGGCAGCCGAGCCACCGGAAGGCAGCCGAGCCACCGGAAGGCAGCCGAACCACCGGAAGAUAGCCGAACCACCGGAAGGCAGCCGAACCACCGGAAGAUAGCCGAACCACCGGAAGGCAGCCGAAUCACCGGAAGAUAGCCAAACCACCGGAAGGCCCACCCCAGAGUAGCCAACGACUCACAAAAACUCUCAGGAGCAACCUGUUGAUGUUUGCAGGUUUAGUCCAUUGUCAUCAUGGAGGAUGGAGGGCAGGCAGACCUAGUGCUGGAGAAGAAGCUGAGAGUUCUACAUCCUGACCCAAAGGCAGCAGGAUUGUAUGCCACACCGGGCUUAGCUUGAGCCUAGAAGACCUCAAAGCCCUCCUCCACAGUAACACACUUCCUGAAACAGGACCACACCCACCCCUCCCAAUGAUGCUACUCUGUACAUGCCAAGCAUUCCAACAUGAAAGGAGGCGCCAGCGUUACCGGGAGAUCUAUCUGAUGGUGAAACUGCCAUGGGUCCAAGGAUCACUCAGGCUUGCCCUUGGUCACCGCGGAGAUAUGAAACCUCCAAGGGAUGAUCCAAUGAACCUCCCACCCCUGAUGCAUCCAUUUCUCUCCACUGGCUUCUUGCUCAUCCUUUAAAAAUCAGUUAGCUUAGAAAUAUAAAAUUUUUAGUUUACAACUAUAACAGGAACCAAUAGUGAUUGAUAGGGGACAGUCACCCGGUCUAGAGGGUGCCAUUUGAGCUAUCUGGAUGUAGAAUUUACAUGGACUUGGUGACAUUUACUUCGUGAUUGUGGGAAGUGAUGCUAUAGAGAUAGAAAGUCAUGUUCUCAGGUAACUAAAGCAGGUUGACCAGAAGGCCCUGUAUCUGUCGAUCAGAGAGAAGAGGGGGUUCAGGAGCAAAUGCUGGAGGUUGGAGUAGCACACAGUGUUUUAGAUGUGAGCCACGAUCCCAAAGACACUGGAGGCAGGUUUGAGGAUUCACGAUCCAAGAUGGCCCUUCACAGGCAAAUCCUCUGACACAACAGAGACCUCUGUGCUUGACAAUGUUUGGUGAGUCUCAGUUGUGUUUGUAUAGAGAGCUUUUUGGGACCACUUGCUUUGCUCCUAGACACUGGGCAGGAAUCUGACCUUAUCAGGACCAAAGAAUAAACCAGGGGCAGGAAUCUGGCUUUGGGCUUGGGCUCAGGAAAUGGGCCCUGAUUAAGAAAAUUUACAUUUGAAUUAGUGCAAAGCUCAGAGCAGGCUCAGUGGAAGCAUGUGUGGCAGUCUUUUGUCUUGGUCAUCCUGACUAACCCCCAGAAAGGUGUUUACAGGAGACUUGCUUGUCCCUUGAUCCAAACUGAUCUUUAUAUUCUGCAUGUACUGAAAACAGAAUCAAAGCAGAUUGGAAAAUGAAAAGUCUGCUUUAGCCUCAGAACUGGCUGGAGUCGUGUAAUAGUUUUG